rnacentral:tRNA from 1 species
GGGUCGCUAACUCAAUGGUAGAGUUCCCGGCUUUUAACCGGUAAGUUCUGGGUUCGAAUCCCAGGCAACCCA